UAGGUUCUCAUCACUUGAUUUUGAGUCUAGGACUGCUCUAUAACCAGUAUGAAUGGAAGCUCUUGAUGCCUGCUUAUCAAGAAUAUUAUCAUCCUUGUCUUGAUCUCGGAAAUACUCAUCAACACAAGCUGCAAUACAUCUUUUACAGCUGUGGAGGUCCUCUCCUGACCAGUUUGGCAAUACAAAGAGGCUCAUAAAGAGACAUAUUGCACACCCUAUGGCAAUUGUACUCAAGCGAUCUCGUGCUAGUGGCAGCACAUCAUCUUGGCGGAAGCUUGAGACGGUUAUCAGAUUGAAGGUUAGCAGAAAAAUCACCACCCCGUAAUCAUAGUUCUUCUUAAUGGAUGGGAAGAAUCUCAAAUACGUUGCAGCAAAUCCUGUCAGGGAAAAUGCAACAACAUAAGGAACCAGAACUACAUUAACGAAGAAUAUGAACUGUUAUCAACGUGAUGCUUAUGGAUGAUGCAAGUUACCUGCAGUAAAUUCGAGCACGACAACAACUGUAAUGACAGCCCACAUUGCAUUCUUUCCCACUCCUUUGAACAAUGGUUCUAGUAUAUACAGGAGCGAGACCAGUGUGAGAGCCGUCCCAACCUUGAGAGCAUGAAUGCCUCUCCUUUGAUCUUCUUUUCCAAUACUCCAUGCGUAUGCCCCCCAUGAAGCAGGAAUUCUGCUGAUUUCCUUCACUUUCUCAGUUCCUUGGAUGAUGGCAAUGCAAAACUUCCUGUACCGAAUGCCAGAAGUAAGUGCCUCCCUAGAUAAGGUAUUUAUAUAAGCCAUAUGGUCUGGGCUUCAAUAAUACAAGCAACCACACACAUACUAAACUUUUUCAAUUCAACGAUGUUGCAAAAAGUGUCUUCAUGUGCUUUCUGGAAUGUUGCUAUCGUGUAUGUGAAUAAAGUAAUGGACUGAUGGCCGCCUAGCUAAUCCUUCGUAUGUGAUAGUAAAUAAAUUCACCAGCUUGCUACUACCUAUAUACUUUUACCUGUUCUUUUUUUUAAUAGGUUUUAUGUGUUCUUUUUAACACAUUUUUGUGAACUUUAUAGAGAACAAACUUGUUUAUUGCUUUCAUAUCUUUGCAGUAAUACCUUACUGCCAGUUUGAUACUUGAAUGUUCUGGCCCUAUGUUCCAAUUUUCAUUUGCUUACUGUUUUGGUUUAAAUAGUUUGAAAAGGGGUGAAGGUGGGGAUACUAUUUUGUAGAUAAAUAGCGAUCUUGUGAAAGGCUGAAUAUACUUGCUUUCCUGGCUUACCACUGUGAUUAAAGUUCUGGACAAUUCAGACUAGCUAAUUUUAUAGGCCAACUUUCCUGCUGUGCUGUGUUUUCUGUAUUAUGUAGAAUUAGACCGUCAAAUUUACUGCUUUUCUUGUCAUGCUCUUUGUUCUCAAUUUCUCAUCUUGUUUUUUUCGCUAUCCUACAUUGCGUUUUUAUUUCUCAAUUUCACAUGUAGUUGUCCCCAAUAUCUCCAUCCAUAGAACCAUUCCCAUCUCUAGUUUGCUUGAGACAUUUUCCAAUUUUAAUUUAUCGCCGCAUUUUACAAUCUAUUGCUACUUUUAGUUGCUGCUUGGCCUAUCGUACACGCAAUUCUCUUCGUCCUUUCCGCAGGUGACGCUGUCUAGGUGUCCCAAACAUCAGGACUCGAGGGGACGCCAGCUUCCCGCCGUUUGGUGAACAACUCGCCGAGUCACAAGCAGAUACGCACUUCCCCUUUUCCUGACGCUGAUACAUGGCGAGACAGCGUUGCCGGCCUUGACUUUUGCAUGCAAUGCAAUGCAAGCGCGAGACGACCAUUGAUAAGUGAGUGAGCUCACGUGAAGGAGGAAGUUGGGGGAAAGGGGCCGGACUCUGGCAAGCCGCUCGUGUCCCUCGCCUUGGCCCCUGCCUGGCCUUGUUUCGAUGGACAACGACUUGUGCGGCCGCGGUGGUUCCGGGCUUCUUAGGUCUUUGCCAACUGCAGUGAUUUACGGCCGGCCGGGUUUUUGUAUCUGGAUCUGGGUGCCUUCUGGUGGUGACACCUUGCCGGGUGAGACAGAGGGCACACCUGUGAAUGGGUUGUUGGCGCUGUGUCAAAGCUGGACUGCUCGAAAUGUACGGCUGGUGUGGUGUUGGACUAUGGAUUCGUUCGCAUGGUCACGUAGCUAGCUUAGGGAUAAUUUUGUUUUUGUCGCCACGCAUUUGUAUAUGUACUACCCCUCCAAUCCAUAAUAAAUGUCGGAAAUUUAAUACAAAGUUA